rnacentral:rRNA from 1 species
UUUGCCUACGGGGGGCAGCAGUGAGGGAUAUUGGGCAAUGGGGGAAACCCUGACCCAGCGACGCCGCGUGAGGGAAGACGGUCUUCGGAUUGUAAACCUCUGUCUUUGGGGACGAAAAAGGACGGUACCCAAGGAGGAAGCCCCGGCUAACUACGUGCCAGCAGCCGCGGUAAUACGUAGGGGGCGAGCGUUAUCCGGAUUCACUGGGCGUAAAGGGAGCGCAGGCGGCACGGCAAGUCCGGUGUGAAAGCCCGGGGCCCAACCCCGGGACUGCACUGGAAACUGC